CUAAUGUAUGAGACCAAAUCCUAACACUUAGUGAAAUUUUUAUUCCUCUUUCAAUUCUCUCCAAAAGCACACACGCACACAGAACCUUCAAUUGGAGGAACCCUCACCUUCGCCAAUCCACCAGGCACACACUCCUCACCUUCGCCAUUCUCACCUUCAACACACAUCACCUACGACACUCAUCACCUUCACCUUCUCACCGUCGCUAUUCACCGUUGCCACCCAGUCACCACUCACCACAUGGCUGCGCCACUCACCAGUCACCAGCUCACCCCUCACAAGCUCACACUCUCAUCCUCACUCACACACAUAAAAGAGGGAAAAAUUAGAAAACGGGAGAACAGGAAGAAGAAGAGAAGAAGAGAGGAGAGGGGAAGGAAGGAGCGGACGACGCCGGCUAGGGCUCUGCCGCGCGGACCAUCGUCGUUGCAUGUGCUGACCGUCGCCUCGCAUUGCCAUCUCGUGCACUCACCGUCGCCGCUCAGCAUCAUCAUCGCAUGUGCUCACUGUCGCUGCUCAGCAUCGUCGUCGUCACUCAGCAUCCUCAUCGUCGCUCACCUGAGAAGCUUCCUGGUAGCCGAGAAGCAUGUAGCACAGAGCACUCGACUCCUUAGCUGAUGAAGAGUCCUUGAUCAAAUUCUUGAUCUCCUUCACAACAUCCAAGUAAUCUGAAUCCGAUAACCACAAUCCAUUAAUGGAAAUUCUUCAGCUUUAUCACAACAACACAAAUUCAGCAUUUUCUAUAUUGGGAGAGAAUCACACAGAACAGAGGAAUCGAGGCAGAGCACCUGAAAAGAAAAUAGGAGAAGUAUAUGUAGAACAUGUGGUUGAGACAGCAUACUUGUGCUCUCCAUAGGAGGAAGGGUAAGAGAAGAUAGGAUCCUGAAUUGGAUCCAAAGGGGAAGAUCUGAAUAAGCAUUUGGAUUGAGAGAGAAUGGUGUAGAGAGCGAGGAAAAGAGUUGUGAAGAGGUAUACCAGAGAAAAACAGAGGAUCUUGGAUUGGAAGAUUAGAGGUUUGGCAGUGGUAAAGCCAUUUUUGAUGUGUUUUGAUGUGAGAAUGCAGACAGUAACUUGUGUCUUUGCUAGCUGCAAGCCUUCCAAGCAAUGCUACUUUCUUCUUGACCUAUGUGGCUCUCAAGUAAGAUAAUAUUUCAUGUUUCAUUUAUUUAUUUACUAUUAUUCUUCUAGCAAUGCUGAUUAAGUCUGUUUGUUAUAUAUGCUAAAGGGUGCAUUAAUGCAAACUUGAUUUACAAAUGGUGUUUCCAUGAUCUUGUUAGUUAUCAUCUUCUUAUGAAGUUGGGUUGUGCAUAUGAUUUAAUGUUCAACCAAAUUAAAUGACUUCUAUUCUGUUUGUUAGAUUUUUUGUUGGCUAUGGUCUUGAGCUGUCCCGGUUAGUUCCUAUUAUUUUAUUCCAUUUGAAGAAAAAGUAUCUUUGCAAGACUGAUGCGGAGGUGAAAGAGGCUUGGGCUCCUAGAGAUCUUGGUUAUGGGACUAGAGUUCCUGGUGACAUGCUCAUCGUCACAAUCGUUUUCUGCUAUUCUGUGAUUGCUCCUCUGAUAGUCCCAUUUGGUGCUCUGUAUUUUGGCCUCGGAUGGCUUAUACUAAGAAAUCAGGUGCUAAUCAAUGCCACUGCUGAUCGAAACUGUGCGACACUAUCGCAGGUUGCAUCCAAAAAAAGUUCAGGAGAAGUUCCUUCAAGAGAGGAUUAAGGUUGGUGGUAAAGCUGGUGCUCCUGGUGAUUCUGUCACUGUCUCCCGUGAGAAGAACAAGAGAGGAUUAAGAUUGACGAAGAGCUUCUUCAGGAAGUGGUUAAUAUGGGAUUUGACAGAAAUCAAUUGGUUGAAUCUUUAUGCAACAUGAUCCAAAAUGAGGUCUGUGCCCUUCAUUUCAGUCGGAAUCAGUUGUGCUCAAUGGGAUAAGCCAAGAAUUUGCUUCAAUAUAUGUUCAAUUCAGUCGCAGAUGUUAGGUGCUCUAUUUGACAUCAAUUUGUUUUUUUCUCUUCUAUCAUAAGAUUAAUAACUUUUAUUAGAAGAUACUUAUGUAAGAUACAAUAUUUUGGUUUUUUAUAGUUUAUUAGUAAUAAAUUCUAAGUGGUCUAAUGUAUAUUUUAA